GGGGACGAAAGGGCUCGACAGGGGGCGGCGGAUCUGAGUUGCAGGCGGAGGGUGGUCAUCGACCUCCAUAAUCGUGGUGACCAACCAAUAAACGGCGAAUCACAACUCGCCCUCGCUGCCUAGGCAGUGACGUUCAUCCUCUUCUAACCCCGGCGGGUGGGGAAUGAGCGACGAUUUGUCCGGGGCGCUGCUCGCAUGACGCCGAUGGCGCGGGCCUAAGACUAUCGGCUGGCCCCGGCCGUUCGGGCCCUCGGCGGCCGGCCGGGGCGAGAUCAAUCUGUAGGGAUAAGCUUGUAGCAGACUCAGGGCGUUGUUCACCUGGACGGGGAGUUCAAUUCUCCCCCGUCUCCACCA
rnacentral:tmRNA from 1 species